CAGCUCCCCAGUGAAAGACACCACCCCUGAGUGAGUGAGACCUGCACCUCUGGUUUCCCUCAACCACUUAGUGACCUGGCCUAGCCCCUGUUGCUAGUUAUUCUGUACCAGUGAUACCCAGAGUCCUGCUUCACCCAAGGGGAAACUUGAGAAACACCUGGUACACAAGGAGCCACAGGGCCUCGGAGUGAUGACUGGGAGACCAGAGCCACAUGUGGCCUUCAAUUAAGGAGCUGACAUCCAAGAGGGAAGGAAGAAUAAUGGUGAACGGGUUUCUAUCCAUCAAAUGUGGCACAGGAAGGCAAGAAUGAUGACAUGUGACUGUGCUCCUCCCACAGGCUUCCCAGCAUUUGCUAUGUGCCUUAAGGAAGAAUUCUAUCAUCCUGCAAGUUAGAGAGGGAAACAGAAGAUUGAACACCACGGGAUACUGGCUGGCUAUUAAGACAGGCCAUGAGUGGUCCUUUGAAAAGAUUCUUAAUUGUUUUUUUUUUUUAACUGAAGUGGAGAACAAACUCCCCUGAAGUGGUCCGUGCCAUUGUGCAUGAGGACUCUGUUGUGAAAUCCGCAGGGAUUUCUCCUGCAGAGAAGACAGAGUGCUAUUGAGAUUCUGUCACGUUUCACAGAUGGUCUGGCCGAGCCAUUAAGGGACUUUCUGGAAGAGAAACAAUGAGUUGAUGUCCCAGCCAGAACAAGAGAACUUGCUAGUCCAAAUGUGCUUUGGGGAUUUUAAAAGUUCUUAAAACUCAGCAGGCACAGCAGUAGCCUCUUCACACAUAUUCAGCUGUCAAAAUAAGGACGGGAGAAACUGAGGCUGACAGAGGUUAAGGGUCUGGUCCAAAGUCACGCAGCUGGCAUACAGCAAAGCCAAGAUUCAAGCCUCAGUCUCAGGAUAAAGCCACCAUUCCCCCAGCGACCAAUGUCAAGAUAAAUGCUUAAAGGACAGGAAGUACACAGGUGGCAAGGUAGCGCCUCUUUAGGGAGGUGACAGCAUUGUCUAUGGUCAUUGCUUUUGUGGGGUGAGAGCCAGGACAGGUGUGGACUGGUGCAUUUGGUGGAAAGGACAGAAUUCUUGUUUUAGUCGCAGACUUCACCCAAACACCUACCAGCCCA